UGGCUGCAGCAAGGAAUAUUGCGCAAUGGGCGAAAGCCUGACGCAGCGACACCGCGUGGGGGAUGAAGGCCUUCGGGUUGUAAACCCCUUUUCUCAGGGAAGAAUAAUGACGGUACCUGAGGAAUAAGUCUCGGCUAACUACGUGCCAGCAGCCGCGGUAAUACGUAGGAGGCGAGCGUUAUCCGGAUUUACUGGGCGUAAAGAGCGCGUAGGUGGCUUUUCAAGUCGGAUGUAAAAUCUCCCGGCUCAACCGGGAUGUACCAUUCGAUACUGUUGGGCUUGAGGGCAGCAGAGGGAGAUGGAAUUCCCGGUGUAGUGGUGAAAUGCGUAGAUAUCGGGAGGAACACCAGUGGCGAAGGCGAUCUCCUGGGCUGUACCUGACACUGAGGCGCGAAAGCGUGGGGAGCGAACAGGAUUAGAUACCCUGGUAGUC
rnacentral:rRNA from 1 species